rnacentral:rRNA from 1 species
UACGGAGGGUGCGAGCGUUGUCCGGAUUUAUUGGGCGUAAAGAGCGUGUAGGCGGCCAUACAGGUCAGCUGUGAAAACUCGAGGCUCAACCUCGAGACGUCGGUUGAAACCGUAUGGCUAGAGUCCGGAAGAGGAGAGUGGAAUUCCCGGUGUAGCGGUGAAAUGCGCAGAUAUCGGGAAGAACACCUAUGGCGAAGGCAGCUCUCUGGGACGGUACUGACGCUGAGACGCGAAAGCGUGGGGAGCGAACAGG